rnacentral:rRNA from 1 species
UACGUAGGCAGCGAGCGUUGUUCGGAGUUACUGGGCGUAAAGCGUGCGUAGGCGGUGGUCCAAGUCUGGUGUGAAAUCUCCCGGCUCAACUGGGAGGGUGCGCCGAAAACUGGAGGACUGGAGUACCGGAGAGGUAAGCGGAAUUCCUGGUGUAGCGGUGAAAUGCGUAGAGAUCAGGAGGAACACCUGUGGUGUAGACAGCUUACUGGACGGUGACUGACGCUGAGGCACGAAAGCGUGGGUAGCAAACAGG